AGAAUUUAUUCAGGGAAGAGUGAAAUAGAUGCAGAGGUUGUGAAAAAGGUUUGGGACAAGAUAGCACCUGCUAUGGCUUCACAGUUUGAUGCUCCCUACUCAUUUCCUCCGAUUGCACCACGUCCACUCCUCCUAAAUGGUGCUGACGACCCUCGUUGCCCAGUCCUUGGUCUACAAGAACCUGCCUCAAAAGCUGCUGAGGCUUAUGCAGAAGCUGGUUCUGCAGAUAAGUUCAAGGAUCCAAAGAACUAGCUCGACUGGACUCUAGAUCACGGACAAUUUAGUCUUGGCACUUAAUUAGGAUGGCUAAAUUACAUUUGAGUUUCAUUUGA